CAGGGAAUACAAAGAGCAGAGGACCAAGGGGAGAACCUUGAGCCCUUCAUGAUGUAAUGGCGGGCAGAGGGCAGCGAUCCAGCAAAGCAGAGAGGCACCAGCCAGAGAGGCGCUAGAAAAACCAGGAAGGUGCCAUCACGAAAGCCCAGGAGAGGUUUUCAAGGAGGGGAGAGCAGUGAACUGUAAGGUCAAGUAAGCUGAGGACCAAGAAGUGUUCUUGGGUUUAACAACACGGAGGUCCCUGAUGACAGAGACAUUCACACAAAGACUUGAAGAGGGGGUUCGGGUCUGGCUCUGCCAGAAACAGCAUGCCUGUGGGCCCAACCCUUCUUCACUCCGGGCCCGGCAGGAGAGCUUCAGGACCACCCCUGCAGGUGCUCUCAGCUCUUGUACCUUUCAACCUGGUCACAGAGGCUGCUGACCCCUAGACCAAGCCAGUGACGUGAGCUCUUCCCUGGAGUCAUCCAGGUCUAUCCAGGGUGGUACAGGGGCCCUGGUGAAUAAGAGAGGGCUUUCUGGAGAUAUGCUAACUAGAGGUAACUGCCUGUCACUGAUGGGCCUUCAAAGAGAAGGCGGCAGGCACCGGGGCCUCUGGACUCAGAGGGUCUGGCUACGCUGCAUUUCCAGGGGGCCAUCAGUGGACGAAGUCGCUGGAGCAACCUGGAGAAGGUCUGUACCUCCGUGAACCUCAACAAGGCCUGCCGGAAGCAGGAGGAGCUGGGUGAGUGGGGUGCUCAGCGUGGGGUGUGCAGUAGGGAGGUGCUCUGAGCCUGGCCUGAGUGUCCUUGCCCUUCAGAUUCCAGCAUGGAGGCCCUGACGCUAAACCUGACAGAAGUGGUGAAAAGGCAGAACUCCAAAUCCAAGAAGGGCUUUAACCAGAUUAGCACAUCGCAGAUCAAAGUGGACAAGGUGCAGAUCAUCGGCUCCAACAGCUGCCCCUUUGCUGUGUGCCUGGACCAGGAUGAGAGAAAGAUCCUGCAGAGUGUAGUCAGAUGUGAGGUCUCACCGUGCUACAAGCCGGAGAAGAGCGACCUCUCCUCGCCACCCCAGACGCCUCCUGACCUGCCGGCCCAGGCCGCACCUGAUCUCUGCUCCCUUCUCUGCCUGCCCAUCAUGACUUUCAGUGGAGCUCUGCCCUAGUGUGGGCCCAGCGCCAGACUGGACAGAAGCCCUGGGGCAACCUCCUCGGCGACCCCUCCAG
rnacentral:sRNA from 1 species